GUCGUAACUUUCACAAUGAGCGUGUUCGUCGUCGCACCCGCCAGUGCCGACCGUCGUCGGCGAUGGUCGGCGGGACUCGGCGUACGUGAUCGGCGAUCUUCGUACGCUCGGUUACAAGGAUCGGCUGCUCUCGGUAGACACCCGCUCGUCAUGUCUGCUGGGUCACAAAUUCAGAUGGCACCCCAAACAACCGUAAACUCUGGUCAGACAGUUCAUAGUCAAGACUCGAACAUGAGCACUGGCUCAUCGCAUAGUGAUAAGGAGGUGGAUGCAAACACUCCGGAAAAAGUACCACGGACUACUUCUGAGAGGAAAAGAAAACGUAAAGCCGAUGAUGGAGGUGGAGGUGUCGCAGGUGGCUCUGUAGCUAGUAAGGGUGCUAGAUCAGUUGCUGCUCUUGAUAAUAAGAAGAUCAAUGAGUAUUUUCCAAAGCAUCAUCUGGGCAAUAGCCCUAUUCGGCACGGUGGAGCCAAGAGCCCUUCCCCUCAACAGGGUUAUCCUAUGUACCCACCAUCGCCACAACAGUUACUUUCGCCACAAGUAACAACACCUAAUUCUUCGGUGGCGGAAUUCUCUUCGUUGAUGCAGCCACCGAGACCUCAUCCUCAACCUCCACCACCUCCUCCACCAGCUUCGUCGCAACCUGCAGGCUCUAUGGUCAGCAAGCAGGUGCAGGUAAGGCCUACCAACCUCAAUAGGACAAGCCAGGUCAGGCAAGCGAAGACUAACACCCCAAAUACAGAACUUACUUGCCAGAGGAUACAGGAAUUUGAAACUCAAGCCUCUUCAGACUUAGAACUACGUAACAAUAAAAUUGACGAGUUAAAUAGGACAACGGACGAACUUAGGCAUCAAAUCGCUAAUCAACAGAAAGUGCUUGAGCAGCACAAAUCACAUAUAAAUAAGUGUAUAGACGUUGUAAAGAAGUUAUUAAAAGAAAAAUCAAACAUAGAAAAAAAGGAGGCUAGGCAGAAGUGUAUGCAAAAUAGACUGAGGUUGGGCCAGUUUGUGACGCAAAGGGUGGGUGCGACGUUUCAAGAGAACUGGACCGACGGUUAUGCAUUUCACGAGCUUGCACGACGGCAAGAGGAAAUAGCAACGGAACGAGAGGAGAUCGACAAGCAGAAGAAGCUGCUACUCAAGAAGAGGCCGUCGAACAGUGAGACAGGCAGGAAACGUAGUCAACCACAACCUUCCUUGCAUAACGGUACCGAGGCGACAUUUUUGAAGCCAGAUGCAGUACCUGGGUCGUAUACGUGGCAGGAGUAUUAUGAAGCUGAUGAAAUACUCAAGUUGAGGCAAAGUGCGUUGAAAAAGGAAGACGCAGAUUUGCAACUAGAAAUGGAAAAACUCGAAAGGGAGCGAAAUUUACACAUUAGAGAGUUAAAGCGAAUUCACAAUGAGGACCAAUCGAGAUUUAACUCUCAUCCUGUUUUGAAUGAGCGAUAUCUCUUACUAAUGUUGUUAGGAAAAGGCGGUUUCAGUGAAGUGCAUAAGGCAUUUGACUUAAAAGAGCAACGGUACGUGGCUUGUAAGGUGCAUCAAUUAAAUAAAGACUGGAAAGAAGACAAGAAGGCUAAUUACAUAAAACAUGCAUUGCGAGAAUAUAAUAUACACAAAGCACUUGAUCAUCCUCGAGUCGUAAAAUUGUACGACGUAUUUGAAAUUGAUGCCAAUUCCUUUUGUACUGUUCUGGAAUAUUGUGAUGGCCAUGAUUUAGAUUUUUACCUCAAGCAGCAUAAGACUAUACCCGAAAGAGAAGCGAGAUCUAUUGUUAUGCAAGUCGUAUCGGCAUUAAAAUACCUCAAUGAAAUAAAACCCCCAGUCAUACAUUACGAUCUAAAACCAGGUAACAUCCUGUUAACCGAAGGCAAUGUGUGUGGUGAAAUAAAAAUCACGGAUUUCGGUUUAAGUAAAGUGAUGGACGAGGAAAAUUAUAAUCCGGAUCACGGAAUGGAUCUAACGUCCCAAGGAGCGGGUACUUAUUGGUACCUACCUCCUGAAUGCUUCGUCAUUGGCAAAAAUCCUCCUAAAAUAUCGUCCAAGGUUGACGUGUGGAGUGUAGGAGUUAUAUUUUAUCAAUGUCUAUACGGUAAAAAGCCUUUUGGUCACAAUCAAUCGCAAGCCACCAUUUUAGAGGAGAAUACGAUACUAAAAGCCACCGAAGUCCAGUUCGCGAAUAAACCAACCGUCAGCAACGAAGCAAAGAGUUUCAUAAGAAGUUGCCUAGCGUAUAGGAAGGAAGAACGUAUAGACGUACUGACACUAGCUAGACACGAAUACCUGCAACCCCCAGUGCCAAAACAUGGCCGCCAAGCGAACAGCCAGCAGCAGCAGCAACAACAACAGAUCCAGCAGCAGCAACAGAGCUCGUUCAAUAUCGGCAUGUUUAGUGGUAUGAACGCGUCGAGCAGUUCGUAGUGGAGAGGAAGAACUAAGGACAAAAUCCUCGAUAUAUACCAAUACAUGCCAAAUCUUGAGCGCUCGGACUGUGUACACCAUCUCAUCUUAGGGAAAUAACGAUUGCUAUAACCAAUUGAUCGACUACAUAGGACAUUGCAAGAGAGAUGCGAGACUGGUCACCCGCAAGUCCAGGAGCUUGCGUCUUUCUACAAGCCACGCCACAUUAUUCAGCAUGACAAGAAACAAUGUUGUGUUCGUAAAUAUUCAAUUGUAUUAUCGUUCCUUGUAUCAAACAGUGCGAUGACUUGAUAAUAGUGUUUAAAAGAAACAAGAGAGCGAGAGAGAACGAACGAGCGUGCGAACGAGAAAAUAACAUGUGAUAAGUCAUUACGAGAUAAAAGUGACGUCUAGAAUAAGAGGGGAGGGGGGAAAUAGAGCAUGUAUGAAAGAGAGAAAGAAAGCGCAAGAGCAUCAAGUAAAAUGAAUUUUUUUUUCGAUGGAAGCAAAAUAAAGUUGAUGAGAUAAAGGAAGCAACGAAGAAUAGGAGAAAAAAGUAGGAAGAAGUUGAGAAAAGCAAUCGGAGCAAUCGCUUUCACGGAGAUGACGUUUCUCUCUCCCAGCGUUUUAGUGUGCGUGAGCGAACGAUAGAGGAUUGUUAAAAUUAGUGUGAGUGUAUAUAUUUAUACUAUAUAUAUAAAUAUAUAUAUAUAUAUAAACUAAUAAAUUCGACAUAAUAUAUAUAUAUAUGGUGUAAAAAGAACGACGACGACAAGCAUUGACAGUGGGAAGACAACUGUGGUGGCUCUAUCCUCGCAUGACCUCCGGCGCCGGUACCGGCAUUCCAUGAAUGCUCGGCCCGUGCAUCAUGUUACUUUAUUCGAAUAUUAACAUUAUUACCUGUAUCAUGACUAAUAACGGUUAACAUACACGCGCAUCCACGCCCACAUACGAAAACACAUACACGACACGAGUACACGAAGGAGAUUUGAUUGGUUGUUCCUAUUCUGAGACGAGAGUGGGCUUUAUCUAUAAUGCCGGAACGAUAGUCCGAUAGAGAGCGAAGUGAGAAUCGUAUAGAAAAAACAAGAGUGUAUGUGUGUGAGAAAGAGAGAGAGAGAGAGAGUCGCGAUGUGCUCCCAAAGUGAAUUAAAAAAAAGCAUCGUAGUCCACCACUUAUCAUCACCACUUGUAAAACCCGUUCUCACGCGUGUAUCGUUUAAAACCCCGUGUCGAUUCGCUGUAACGAAGCCACGCAUUACGUUUUUCCUCCUUCACUCUUCCUCCUUUUUUCUUCUCUCCUCUCUUUUCUCUCUCUUUUUUCUCUAAAAUUAGAGAGAUAGAGAAAAGGAGAGCGAGAGAAAGAGAAAGCGCGGAUCCAAAUGUAUGUGUACAGAGCAAGUUUAAAGAAACGGUUAAAUGAUUUAUAAUUAAUUAAUCAGACGAGAAGUACGGGAAAAAUAUGACGAGGAUAAGGAAAAACGAGCAAAUCUUUAAGAUAAGAAAGUCCGUGAAAUGCUAUACCGACCCAAUCAUUAUUUCUUUACUCGUAAUUUGUUUUAUAUAUGUACGUUAUAUAUAGAUAAUUAUGAAAUAGAAAACUAAGUUAUUUUAUCAAGUGCCCUUGCUUUGUAUUAUAGUCGCGUCCGUCGGCGAGCCGUAGCUUCUGGGAGUAAAAGAAAGAGAGAGAAAGAGAGAAUGAAGAGAGAAUGUGUUGAGAGCGAAAGUGAGAUUAAAGCGAGCGAGUGUGUGUGUUGUUAAAAUAUUGCGUCAGUUAUUGGUACAAUGUGGGCACCGGGGUAUUGAUGACAAUUCAAUACCAUCAAUGUGAUUGGCAGAAGUGUGGUGAGAGAGGAGAAUACAUUACAAGUCUGAACAGAGUCUACUACUUAGAUCCGUCGCUUCAAUUUUGAAAAAAAAAAAGAUCAACCGUUCCUGCAUCCCGCAUCCCAUUUUUUUCGCGAAAAAACGCGAGUGCGCUCUUUUUUUAUUUUACACGCGCGAUGUGUCGCAUUAAUCGUGCUCAUUAAUGCUCUUUGAGGUGACAUGAUUCCAAAGGGAUAUAAUUCGCGUUGCAAUUCGACAGUUUUCCUCUACGAAGUAGAUUUCCGAAAUUCUUUUCGCUGAUAAGGAAGAGAAGGGGGGAGGGAGGAGUAUUAACGCGAUUAAUAAAAUGUAAAAAUUGUUAUCUGCAUUGUUUCUCCAUUAUAUCAUUUUCGAUGAACCUAGAUUGAGUAAAGCUUAUCUCUAAAAGUUUACUGCAGCCGGCCUUCAAAAAAUUAUUCGAAGAUGUAAUUUGCCAAACGUUUAACGCCUUCGAGAUCUCUCGUGGUGAAUGAUGAACAUUUACGCGAGAAUACAUAGGAUUCGUAUACUUUGCGACAGGAAGGAUAAUUUUACAUUUAUACAUAUCUAUAUGGAAUUCUCUGUGAAACGUAAUCGGUGAAUGCAAUCACGUGCAUGUAAAAUAGAAACGGAAAAAUUAAAAAAAAAAAGGAUUUUAUCGAAAACUUUUCACUGAGCACAAAUAGAAAGAAAAAUACCUUCCCAUCGACUAUAAGGUAUUGCCAUGAUCUACAUACUAUUAUAAUAUCCGUAAUACUAAA
rnacentral:misc_RNA from 1 species